GCGAAUCCCCCUCGGUGCCACACUUUCUGGGCUCUCCAAGCCUCGGUCGUCUCUUCUGGCAAACGGAAAUCAGAUCCUGGGUGUUGUGAAUCCAGAACACACAGCAGUGGCUCAAAAACAUCGAAUGAGCCAGUGAAUGAAUAAGUGAAGGCCGACGUCUAGAAGGACGCACAGCCAACCUGAGAACAGUGGUGGACUUUGGAGGAGCCGAUUGCUGACAGGCUUAGCACCCUGGGCCCAUCACAAAGACACGGUGCUGACUGGAGGAGCACCCCCAGAUGGCCACAUGCUGCAUGAUUCCAUUUCUACGACAUGCGGGAAAAGACGAAACAACAGGG